AACUAACCAAACUUCCAUUCUACCGCGUAUCAAAAAGAGCCUAUAUCGUAUACCUCGUCUGUGACUUCACGUUCGCCGGAAAAAAUUGAAGAACCAUCCGCGUUUUCAACGGGACGCAACUGAAACAGAUGAAAACUACGCUACCGAGCGUAGAUAAAAAUUUAUAUACAAGCGUCGACGUCACGUGGCUACGCUGAUAUCCCCGAUCCGAACGGGACGAAACUUGCAAGAAUAUCUUGACACUGGGUAGAAUUCCGAGCCAUAUGUGAACCAUUUACGCUCCAACGAUCCAUUCGACGGUCCAUUGGUUCCGUCGAACCUCGACGACGACGACGGGCUUCAAGUUGAAUUUCGAAAUGACGGCGUAGGUGGAACACGGAACGCAGAGGGUUCACUCGCGUUGACUCGUUUUGCAAUUCGGCACCGGUUCUUGUUUCGUACGGUGGAAUAUAAUCGCUGGACGUUCGUCUUACCUCUUGGCAAAGUGUUGCUGCCGAUGUCGAACACCGUUUCCCUCGAAGGAUUACCGUGAGACCCCAUCGGGCUGUUGGAAGACUCCGAGUUCGACGCGUUCGCAGAGCCCUUUCUCGAGAAGAUGUCGUCAUCUCGGCCGAGCGACUGCCUGAACUGAGACUCGGACAAUCGCCUACGUCCCGGAAAAAAAAAACAGACAAAACAAAACUGGUUUAUUGAGGCCCCAAAACGCUUGCGAGGGAUUGGAUCCUAAUCUACCGAAGAGUC